CGGGGGGGGGCAAGCGUUGUUCGGAAUUACUGGGCGUAAAGGGUUCGUAGGUGGCCCGCUAAGUCACACGUGAAAUCCCUCAGCUUAACUGGGGAACUGCGUGUGAGACUGGCAGGCUUGAGUGCAGGAGAGGAACGCGGAAUUCCAGGUGUAGCGGUGAAAUGCGUAGAUAUCUGGAGGAACACCGGUGGCGAAGGCGGCGUUCUGGACUGUAUCUGACACUGAGGAACGAAAGCCAGGGGAGCAAACGGGAUUAGAUACCCCGGUAGUCCUGGCCCUAAACGAUGAAUGCUUGGUGUGACGGGUAUCGAUCCCUGUCGUGCCGCAGUUAACGCGUUAAGCAUUCCGCCUGGGGAGUACGGUCGCAAGGCUG
rnacentral:rRNA from 1 species